CAUAUGCUUGUCUCAAAGAUUAAGCCAUGCAUGUCUGAGUACAGACCGAUCUAAGGUGAAACCGCGAAUGGCUCAUUAAAUCAGUCAUAAUUCCUUGGAUAGUGAAAAACUUUCCUCGGAUAACUGUGGAAAAUCCAGAGCUAAUACGUGCAACUGAGCUCCGACCUCGACUUGAGUCGUGGGAAGAGCGCAUUUAUUAGAUUCAAAACUGACCGGUGUACUCCUUCGGGAUAUGCCGUCCGUCAAAAGUUUGAUGACUCCGGAUAACUUAGCCGAGCGCUACGGUCUUUAGUACCGGCGCCGUAUCUUUCAAGUGUCUGCCUUAUCAGCUUUCGAUUGUAGGUUAAACGCCUACAAUGGCUGUAACGGGUAACGGGGAAUCAGGGUUCGAUUCCGGAGAGGGAGCCUGAGAAACGGCUACCACAUCUAAGGAAGGCAGCAGGCACGCAAAUUACCCACUCCCAGCCCGGGGAGGUAGUGACGAAAAAUAACGAUGCGAGACUCUUCCGAGGCCUCGCAAUCGGAAUGAGUCCAUUUUAAAUCCUUGGACGAGGAUCCAUUGGAGGGCAAGUCUGGUGCCAGCAGCCGCGGUAAUUCCAGCUCCAAUAGCGUAUAUUAAAGUUGCUGCGGUUAAAAAGCUCGUAGUUGGACUUUCUAGAUCCAUUUCGUGGGUGAGUCGCUCUUUGUACUAGCGUCUUGCGCGGUUCCUCGAUGAUGUCGUUUGGCGAAUUCUCUAGGUUUCGGCUUCACGGUCGAUUUCUCGGAGGUUCCCGGCGUUUCAGAAUCUUGCGGGCGGCGAGGCGUUGUCUUAGAGUAUAGCUCGUCCGCGUUUGGUACAAUUAAAAUUUUGUCGGCUCGCUCGGAGUGCUCUUCACCGAGUGUUCCAGGGUGGCUGACACGUUCACUUUGAAAAAAUUAGAGUGCUUAAAGCGGGCUUAUUUACGGCCUGAAUGUCUGUGCAUGGAAUGAAGUAACAGGACCUCGAUUCUGUUGUUUUUGUCGGUUUUAAUGAACCGAGGUAAUGAUUAAAAGGGACAGACGGUGGCAUUAGUAUUGCGGCGCUAGAGGUGAAAUUCUUGGACCGUCGCAAGACUAACUACUGCGAAAGCAUUUGCCGAGAAUGUUUUCAUUAAUCAAGAACGAAAGUUAGAGGAUCGAAGGCGAUCAGAUACCGCCCUAGUUCUAACCCUAAACUAUGCUAACUAGCGAUCCGCCGGAGUCAUUCCCACGACCCGGCGGGAAGCCCCAGGGAAACCAAAGUCUUUGAGUUCCGGGGGAAGUAUGGUUGCAAAUCUGAAACUUAAAGGAAUUGACGGAAGGGCACCACCAGGAGUGGAGCCUGCGGCUUAAUUUGACUCAACACGGGAAACCUCACCAGGCCCGGACAUCAUAAGGAUUGACAGGUUGAGAGCUCUUUCUCGAUKUGAUGGGUGGUGGUGCAUGGCCGUUCUUAGUUGGUGGAGUGAUCUGUCUGGUUGAUUCCGAUAACGAACGAGACUCUACCCUACUAACUAGUCGGCGGAUCGUAACCCUGAGAUGGUUAGUAUGUAUAGGAGAGUUUUGCGUAGGGGGAGACCGUUAUCGAUAAGCUCAUAUCCGUUCAUUAGCUAUUAGCGAAGGGUGCGGUGUGAGUGGACGGUUCCGGUUCUUCGCCGAAGCGACUCUCUCUGAUUACUACUACUGCUGGGGGCGUCCGUCGCAAUGUAUCUUCUUAGAGGGAUCAGCGGCGUAUAGCCGCACGAGAAAGAGCAAUAACAGGUCUGUGAUGCCCUUAGAUGUUCUGGGCCGCACGCGCGCUACAAUGUAGGGCUCAGCGUGCUUUCCCUCUCCGAAAGGAGCGGGUAACCCGUUGAAACCCCUACCCGAUUGGGAUUGGGGAUUGCAAUUAUUUCCCAUAAACGAGGAAUUCCCAGUAAGCGCGAAUCAUUAAUUCGCGCUGAUUACGUCCCUGCCCUUUGUACACACCGCCCGUCGCUACUACCGAUUGAAUGAUUCAGUGAGGGCAUCGGACUGGCCCUUCGGUUUAGUAACCUAGACCUUAGGCUGACGGAAAGAUGUCCGAACUUGAUCAUUUAGAGGAAGUAAAAGUCGUAACAAGGUUUC
rnacentral:rRNA from 1 species